UCUUCUUCCAUAUCACUUUUUUUUGUUAUGAUUUCUAGUCUUUUGAAUGAAUGGUUCACCCUAGAGUUGUGGGUUCGAUUCCCACAGGGGACCAGUGCGGAAAAAAAAGUAUUAAAAUGUAUGCACUCACUACCGUUACAUGGCACUAUUUUUUGUUAUGAUUUCUAGUCUUUUGAAUGAAUGGUUCACCCUGGAGUUGUGGGUUCGAUUCCCACAGGGGACCAUUGCGGGGGAAAAAAGUAUUAAAAUGUAUGCACUCACUACUGUUCUGCUAAAUGACUAAUGUCAAUUUGCAAUACGUUAGGAGAUACAGAACAUUGCUUUCUUAAUUUCAUCUGUCACAUUAUUAUGUAGUUUACGGUAGUCCCCCAGUCACGUGGUGUUUGAUGACAAACACACAACGAGAAGAGACCGGAGCCUUGUGAGUCAGUUACUGUUGUGCAGCAUGCGCCAUCUAAUUACAGUAUGGAAUUCACAACUAAAUGUUUGCCAGCUAGAUAUCUUACAGCUGUUAAGUUAACAGUCUACAAUGUGUUAAAUGCUCUGCAGUUGUGCAUUUGCUUUGCUAAUUUAUUAGCUAGUUAGCUCAGUGGUUAUCUUAUUUUUCUUCUUCCAAAAUCAAACAUUCGUUAGGUAACAGCAGAUAAUCGCCUCCUGGAUCAAGAGCCUUGCAGGCUAAUAUUCGUUUUGUUCCUGCAACAAACUGUCACAUUGAGACAUUCUCUACAUCCAGAGAGCAACAACAGGAAGAUCACAGACCUAAGAGGUCUCACCACUGCCCAUAUUAUCCCUGCUCAUCCACUGGCCCAUCAGCCCAGCCAGCCAAUUCAUUAACUUGAUCUCCACUGUAAAAGGCAUCUAGACAUUAUUUCCCCUUGCUUUUAGCCAAACAUUUUUGUUUGCAUCAAAGGGGGGCUUGUACAAACGUUGCUGUCUGUCUUUCAACAUUUGCAACAUUGUUUCAAUACUGAAAUUCGAUAUGCACUAUGCUAUUGAGAAUUAACGUGUCAGGACGAAUCUGACAUCUUGUCUCAGCCAGUCGAAAUCAUGAAUCCGCAUAAUCUUUAUGGAUAUAUACAAAGAAAUGUCAAUUUAAAAACAGGUCAAACAAAAUUAAAAGCAGUUACUUUGCUCUUAUUCUAGCUGCAUGGUUUGAUGUGACUGUUAAUUGUAGUUGGCUAGCUAGCAAGCAAGGGAUAAGAGUGUUGCCAGACAGCAUGGCAACGGAACAUUUAGAACUGAUGGAUUCUAUUAAAAUGCAACAUGUUUCAAGUUAAACUGUAGUUAGUUUGUAUCCUGUUUAGUGAAUGAUUACUGUGAGUAUUAAUGGAGUUUAGGACAUGAAACUGUGUGUAUGCUCAUUUAGAAAUGUUGACCCAAUCAGAGAAGAGGAAAUUGACUCGGAUCAGAGAGCAGGGUCAGGCCCAGAACAGAAGAUGGACGGGUUGUGAUUCUGACAUCUGGCUAAACAAAGAGGACCAUGGACAUUCCACAGGGGAAAAGAGGGAAACUCAUUGGGGCCAUAAAAUGUAUAGCUGGGGAGGUGAUGCCAAUAAGGGAAGAGUAUAAAAUGUGUUGUGAGCUUUCUGAAUGCAUGCACUCAGCUGACUGUAUCCUUGGUAUUAAACACUCUCUUAAACUUCU